GAAGCUUUAGCUUAAUUAAAGCAUCUGUUUUGCAUGCAGAAGAUGUGGGUUAGACGCCCGUAAGUUUUA
rnacentral:tRNA from 1 species